rnacentral:lncRNA from 1 species
GCUAAGCAAGUAGCUAACUAUCUCUACAACAACUUCUUAGAUGGACAAUCAGCUUCUCGACCUUUCGGGUCUGCCAUUUUAGAUGGCGUAGACUUUGACAUCGAACACGGUUCCAGUCUUUACUAUGAUGAUCUAGCACGGGACCUCUCGGGUUUCAGCACACCACAGAGAAAAGUCUACUUGUCAGCAGCACCACAAUGUCCUAUCCCUGACGCUAAACUAGACGCUGCAAUUCAAACUGGCCUUCUCGACUACGUCUGGAUACAAUUUUACAACAACCCACAGUGUCAUUACACAGGCACAGCUACUAAUCUUUUGGCAAGGUGGAGAGAGUGGGCUGCCGCGACUCCACCACGCAGUCAGAUCUUUCUUGGAUUACCAGCGGAUACCGCAGCAGCACCUAGUGGUGGCUAUAUAUCACCGAGUGCAUUAAUCUCUGAAGUUCUUCCAAGUAUCAAGACUACAACAAGCUAUGGCGGUGUCAUGCUUUGGAAUAAGUUUUAUGAUACGAGUUUUAGUUCAGCUAUCAAGAACAGUAUAUAAUAUGUAACUGGAAACAAAUAUGAUGUGAUACCAGAUAUCAGAACCCGCUUCUUAUCGAUAAAUCUACAUAAACACCUGCUUCUAAGUUUCGAAUAAAGAGAUUUUCCUCAGAGAAACACCAUCAGAGUCGAUACUAAAUUACUUGUAAAUAUUAGUAAGAAAAAAUACAAGUGUUAAUUGCGCUUAACAUUGGGCGGAAAGAAAUUAAAGAAGAAGAAACACAAUCCCAACGACAGGAAAAAAAAAAUGAACUUUUGAUAUUAUAUCAGUAAUCAAAAAGUUCUUGUUAAUUUACUGACUGGUAACUAAGGAUUACAAACAAAACUAAAAAAUAGAGCUGACAAGAUUCAAGAGAGCUCGCAUGUAUGGCACGCGAAAGGCUUCAUAGUACAAGCAGAAUUACACUCAAUGUGACAAACUAGAAAAGGAUGUAAUCAGCCAACCAUAUUUGAGGGAAGCGCACUUUUUUCACACUGUAAAAAUAUUUGCCCUUUUACACCUUCCUGAUCUGGAUAUUGCGGGCGGACUGUAAUCGUUAGAUGGGCUGUUUACCACUCUGCACAAGAGCCACUUGUUCUCCCUCCUUUACCAUCCCUUGCUCCUGUAAAUGAGUCAGGCAGAUUUAAUACGACUCCCAUUGAUGUUGAUAUUCAAAUUUACUGGCAAAACAGCAUGCACAGUUGGAAACUUGGCUUGCAGCCAUGUUUUGAAUAUUGAAUGAGGAAACAAUCCCUACUGAGUAGCAACAAUACAUUACUACUUAAUUCAUCAGAAGAACACAUUUACAAACUCCUAACAGCAGAGUUUCUGAUUUCUUAGAUUCAAAUACUGUAAUUAAAGAGAUCUGUAUAGUAUUACUACUAUAAUUCACCUUCAAGAGAGUUGAUGCAUCUGCAAAGGUUUUUUUUGCAUCAUCUGAGAACAGCAUGUAUAUUAAGGGUAACUCCUUGAUAUAAAGCUAAACGCUCUUUCUUUUUUUAAUAAACCUGUAUGUCAAACCAAUUUUGAACAUAUGUUAACUACUUCACUAUAGAAUAGGGGAUCCAUAAUGAUUAGAAGGUUCAAACAUGUUCUUGAAUAAAAUUCAGCAAUUAUCUUGUAAACUUUGGGGGAUGGAUAUGUACUCUUAUCCUAUAUGUUUGACUACCAUAAUCAUAUAUUUAUAAACCAAUUUUUUACAUAGGUUAACUACUUCACUAUUUAAUAGUGGAUCCAUAAACAUAUAGGAUUUUGGGGGCUUAUACUAUAGGAUAAUGUGCUAGUGACCCCUGAUAGUGACCAACUUUAAACUCAGAGUGCCAAUUUUACUUUAUUCAUAAUGGAAUUUAAAUACAUAAUUGUUAAAACAAUGGAGGAAGAAGAAUAAGAUACCAGCACAUCAACUCAUAGAAAGUAGAAUAUUCCCCGAUGCCUAGUUGCAAACCCAUAAUGCUUAUUACUGAUCAAAUUGCCCUAGGAAACACGACAAGGCUAUGCUGAAAGAAUAAUACAACAGCGCUUGCAUAGAAGAUAAAUAAAGCAGUAACAAUUUCCUAGGUAACAGGGGCUAUUAAAAGCACCUCCAUUUCUGGAAAGGGGAAAAACUCCAUCUAUACAUAAAGCAGAAAUACAUACUAUUGCAAACCAAAAACAAGACAAUAAUUGGAAUGUGAAUAAAACCCUUGCAAAAGAAUGGGGCAAGCAUUAAUUCAAACUUCAGAUAUUUGAGGUAAUUGUAGAUUGCCUGAAGUGUUUCAAACAUAAUCCUUCUUGCAUAACAUCAACAAUUUAGUCUUGUUACUUAUUUUAUGAAGAAAAAGAAACCAAACAACUUUCAUCUGAAUAAAUCAUUUGUUAUUUUAAAAAAUUGACACUAGAACCUGCGUGAUAUACAGGAAAAAGAAUAUAGCACUGUAGCCAUUUGAAAUUCAAGAAUUCAUAUAAUCAUGUUAUAACUCACUGGCUUUAAGCCUUUAUUGGAAGUUGGAAGAUAACAUUAUCAGGUUGAAAAAGUAGUGUUCAGAAAAAACACAGCUCCUGGUAGGGCUGUAAAUUGAUACGGACUAUCCGGUGUCUCGGCUCAUAUCCGGCUCGAAAAUAUGAUACAUGUCUCAUAUCCGUUUUGAAAACGAUCCAAACCUGGCGGAAAAAUUAAGCCCGUAUAAUAUAUGAUCCCGGAUACGAGCACACCUAUACCCGCUCAGAUUCGGUCUCAUAUAAUUUUUCAUAAUAUGAUCCUACCCGAAUAACCAAAUAUGAUCCACGGUUCAUAUUCGAUUCAAACUCAUAUAUAUAUAUAUAUAUUAUAUUUUAACAUCAUCAUAUUUGCAAGUAAAUAGUCAUCAUUUUAUAAAAUUUUAAUAUCUUAUUUAAGUUUAUACCUUCAUAAAAUAUGAUUUAUUUAAUGUGAUCAUGCUUAUUAUCUUCAUAUAUAUUUAAUAAAUGAUAUAUACCAACAUAUAACUAUAAGUUUUAAUUUAAAAUUAUUAUUCUUUAUAAUAUUAUGUUUACUUAGACUAAAUGAUAAUUAUUUGAACAAUUGAAAUAAUAAUGAUAUUUAGUGUUAGUGGAUCAUAUCCGGCUCAUAUUCGAUGGAUCAUAAACUACCCGGUUAAAAAAUAGAAAAUACGAUACUGGAUCAUAUCCGGUUCAGAUCCGAAUCUCAAAUACCCGGGAUCGGAUUAUAUCCGAAUAAAACGAUCCCGGACCCAAAUCUGGACAAGCUAAAAAUAAUAUGAUCCGGUACUUGAGCAGAGGGGUACCCGGGAUCACCCGGAUCAUUUUACAGCCCUAGUUCCUGGGGCUUAAAAUCAUCCAUAAAUUACAAGAACCCAAUUUAUUUUCUACAAUUUUAGCCAUCACAAUUUUCCUCAAAACAAAAAAGCUCUACUCUAUUCGUACCAAACAUAUUGCAUUUAGAUAUAGAACAUAAAACAUAAGCACCGGAAGAGACCGGAAACAUCUUUUUUACUACCGAACAACAUUAAAAGUCAAGUAAAAUUCUUAAUAUCUAUGUCCGACUCGGAGACUUCGCACGGACAUUCAAUUCAAUUAAAAGACAGAAACAACAAUGAAGUCUUUUAAAAGGACAAAUCUGUUUUUUAAAUUACUAGUAUAAUACUUAUAAGGAUAAGAAAUAGGAGACCAUCAUCAAUUCAUAGACAACAAGGAGACAAGGUUAAUUUCACCUCUCAUCAUACCAUAUGUAAUUAUUUGAGAAAUAUGACACCUAGACAAAGCACCUUUUUAUUCAGGUAAAGUUGACACUAGUCCAUUUGGGUACAUCAGGACAGUAGCUGAUAAUAUGUACACACAGCAUUUGGUAGGCAGGAUAAUAUAAACCAUGUAAUUUCCAAUAUCUACAAUGCACAAACAAACAGAAAACAAAAGCAACAUCAAUUAUCAAUAUACCUAUCAGACAAUCCAAACCUAAAAUCCACGAAAAUCAACAUCACACAUAUGAUUCUGGCUUCAAUCAAUAGUCGACCUCACAAAGUAAUUCCACAUUUAUGUACUAAACUAUAUGGCAUAUCACAAAUAUAAACCUAAAAAAACUAAAUAACACACACAAUAAACAUUCAACAAAAACAAGAAAUAUACCUAACAAUCCUCCUCCUCCUCAUCAUCAAGUAACAACUCUGCAUUGCCUAGCAUCACCAACCAUCGAUCCCCGUCCACUACUCAACGUCAAUCCCACGGGCACAUCCCGACACAAAACCCUAACAUACCGCUUCCUCGUCCCCCACGCUCCAGCCUUAAACCUAGCUCUAGCCAACAACCUAACACUAAACCUAACACUCCCUCUCCCUCUAUCACCACCAAUAUCCCUAACAACCCAAUCAUCAACAUACGCUCCCACAGCACCAAAAGUGGCCUUCACCUUGGUCUCAUUCCUCUUCCCUUGACUAAACGGAGGCAACGUAGUCGAUGCCAGCCCCUCCGACUUAUAAAACACAUCGGCAUCAAUUCGAUCAUAAUUCACCGUGAUCUUCUUGUUCGGAUUCCUCACAGUAAACUCAACUUCCCAGUUGCCGGAAACCAGAGAGCUGGAGAUAUUAAAGUUAGAAACAGUCACCGAGUCGACUCGAAACUCAGGGACUCGAGGCCUAAGUACUAGCCAAAUUAUCAACAAAACGGUGCCGGAAAUGAUGAUACAGGCGAUUAUGAUUGAGAAGAGGCGGCGGAUGAAAGCGCGUUGAGGAUCGGGUUGGUUGUAGUAGGGGUUGUGAGUGUAGUAGGCGGCGUUGGACGGUGGCGGGGCGGCGUAGGGGUAGGCGGUACCGGAGGAAUAGCCGUUAGGGUUAGGGUUAGGGUUAGGGUGGGCGGGGUAGCCGGUAACGGGUCGGGUCGGAUUGGUGGGGUUCAUUUGGGGAGAAUAUAGAGGAGUGUUUUGUGUGUAGAGGUUGUAUGUAUAGGAGUAGAUGUGAAGGAAAGUGUGGGAGAAGUGUGUGGAAGAUGAAGGAGUUUCUAUGAGUUAAAGUGAAACGGGGUUGGAGGGAGAUUGAUUUGUCUUUGGGGUAAAUUAGUCGAUUUAGGUAAAAGGCGGUGCAACGUUUAGCUCAUAUUUUCGUAUAAGAUUUUUAUUAUAAUUUUUUGGUUCAUAUUUUUAUUUUUUUAUGAUUUAUUUUUUGUAUAUCAAAUAAAAUUUGGUUAAUGGAUAUUUGACCUGUCAAGUCAAAGUAAAGUUUAUCGCUACAUUACAUAUGUGUUUUUCAUUCGAGGAUAAAAUGAUUUUCAAGUGAUUGUCUAAAUUUUUUUAAUUUGUGAUUAUAAUAAUGUUUAAGUAAGAGCAUGUUAGUACGGAUUUUAAGUAAUUUUCGAUUUCAAACUGAAAAAUGUAUGUUUUUGUAUUAAGUCAAAAGUCGAUUUAAAAUUAUAAAUAAAUCAAAAAUUGAUUCAAAGUCUGAAGCUAAUUUGAUAUUAUUUUAUCGAUGAUUUUUUUCUUUUCCAUAUUUUUAUACAAAAAUUAAAAUCAAAAAAUGAUGUCUUUAUAGUAUCGUCAAUUUUACGCCAAAAAUAUUCUUGGUUGUUUAAGGCCAGUUUCUACUAAAAUCUAAUAUGCUCUUGGUUCUUUGAGGCCAGCUUCUACUAAAACCUUGAUAACGAAUUCAAACUCUACGACUCUGGGAAAAAUUUCGUCAUGACGACAUAAUAAUACCUAUGCACAAGUAAGUUUGAGGAUUUGAACAUGGGUGAUGUAUUCAAACUUGCAAGUUCUUAUUCAAAUAUAAAUUUCCACCAUUUCUCAACAGGUUAGCCGCAUUGUCUUUCACACGAAAAAGACAUAUAUAUAUACUUUUAUCGCAUAAUAUUUGUCAAUAAAUUAUCACUCAGAUGCAUCAUUGAUAUUAUUGGAGUUCUUGAAAAUUACGGCCAUCUUCAACAAAUCAAAAUAAUGUAUGGACAAAGAAGUAUCGUGAAAUUCAGGAUCACAAAUGAAUGACAAAUAUAUUUUGAUAUAAUACAAACAUCCUUUUUGACUACUUAAACUACAUUUGAGUUUGAAUUAUCUCACGUGGCUGUAGUUAUGCAGGUAUCAUGAUUGCUAAAUACAGUAAUAUUUUAUAGUAAUCACAUAUUACCAUAAUAUCUUUCAUUUAUUUUUUUUGUUAAAUACAGUAAUAUUUUAUAGUAAUCACAUAUUACCAUAAUAUCUUUCAUUUAUUUUUUUUGUUUUCUGUGUACGCAUCAGUGCAGUCAUUAAUUUUUCAUGAUGGCUAAAUGCAGUAAUAUUUUACUCCGUGCAGUAACUAGAAAUUACCAUAAUAUCCUUCAUUUAUUCUUUUGUUUCAUGCGGGUUGAUCUCGCAAAUAAAGCACAAAAUGAAGGCUCUUUGGCGUCCACUUGCGCAUCAUUGCUUUCUUAAUAACCUCUGAGAGUGGCCGAACUCCGGCCCUAAAGAUAGCUGGCAAUUGUGAUGCUGCCUCUAACGGCUGCACCUUCUAGAGCUCCCAGAUUUCUACUUGCCAGAGCAAUGUCAUCAAAGUCCUCUCUCUUCUGGUGGCGGGUAGGGUCGGAAACAAGCAUGUCUUCUCCUGCUGAUGCUAAGCAAGUAGCUAACUAUCUCUACAACAACUUCUUAGAUGGACAAUCAGCUUCUCGACCUUUCGGGUCUGUCAUUUUAGAUGGCGUAGACUUUGACAUGUCCGAUUUCGAGAGAAAAGGCAUUCGUCUUUACUAUGAUGAUCUAGCACGGGACCUCUCGGGUUUCAGCACACAACAGAGAAAAGUCUACUUGUCAGCAGCACCACAAUGUCCUAUCCCUGACGCUAAACUAGACGCUGCAAUUCAAACUGGCCUUUUCGACUACGUCUGGAUACAAUUUUACAACAACCCACAGUGUCAUUACACAGGCACAGCUACUAAUCUUUUGGCAAGGUGGAGACAGUGGGCUGCCGCGACUCCAUCACGCAGUCAGAUCUUUCUUGGAUUACCAGCGGCGCGACUCCAUCACGCAGUCGGAUCUUUCUUGGAUUACCAGCGGUGCGACUCCAUCACGCAGUCAGAUCUUUCUUGGAUUACUAGCGACUACUGCAGCAGCAC